CAGUAGGGGCACGGUCAAUGAGGUAUGAGAUUUUUAGCAGUACAGUAGGAUAAUAUUUAUAUACCAAGACAAACCCCUCACAUCCACCAUGUCCCUACUGUCCGCUUACAGGUGUUCCCCGAAGCUCUUGCAUUCAACAAAGAAUGUAGCAUGUCUCAUCGUGUCUUCCAGAAACGCCACUACAUCAACAAUAAGAACUCUGCACACAAACCUGAGAGAUGUGCUCUCGAAUCUCGUUCCUAAAGAACAGAGUAGGAUUAAGAACUUCAAAACGCAGUAUGGCAAGACCAACAUCGGCUCGAUCUCUGUGGAUAUGAUAUACGGUGGGAUAAGAGGUAUGAAGGGCCUGGUGUAUGAAACCUCAGUGCUGGAUGCAGAUGAGGGAAUUUGUUUCUGUGGCUACAGCAUUCCGGAGUACCAGCAACUGUUGCCCAAGGCUCCAGGACGUGCCGAGCCCCUGCCCGAAGGUCUGUUCUGGCUGCUGGUGACAGGCCAGGUGCCCACAGACGAACAGGUGAACUGGCUGUCCAAGGAGUGGGCCAAGCGUGCAGCUCUUCCCUCCCAUGUGGUCACCAUGCUGGAUAACUUCCCCACCAACCUCCACCCCAUGUCUCAGUUCAGCGCCGCCAUCACAGCUCUGAACAGCGAGAGCAGCUUCGCCCAGGCCUACUCUGAGGGAGUCAACAAAGCCAAGUACUGGUGGGAGUUUGUCUAUGAAGACUCCAUGGAUCUUAUCGCUAAGCUGCCUUGCGUGGCGGCCAAGAUUUACCGCAACCUUUACCGCGAGGGAAGCAGCAUCGGUGCCAUUGACUCCAGUCUGGACUGGUCCCACAACUUUACCAACAUGUUGGGCUACAGGGACGCCACGUUCACCGAGCUCAUGCGCCUGUACCUCACCAUUCACAGUGACCAUGAGGGUGGUAACAUGAGUGCCCACACCAGCCACUUGGUGGGCAGUGCCCUGUCUGACCCCUACCGCUCCUUCAGCGCAGCUAUGAAAGGUCUGGCUGGACCCCUUCAUUGAUUGGCUAACCAGGUGUGUACGGGUGCUAAUGUCACUGCAGAAGGAGAUGGGAGGAGAAGUGUCUGACGAGGCCAUGAGAGACUACAUCUGGAACACCCUCAAGUCUGGAAGGGUGGUUCCAGGCUACGGCCACGCUGUCCUGAGGAAGACAGACCCCAGGUACACCUGCCAGCAGGAGUUUGCCUUCAAGCACUUGCCCGACGACCCCAUGUUCAAGCUGGUGCACCAACUCUACAAGAUCGUGCCCAAUGUGCUGCUGGAGCAGGGCAAGGCCAAGAACCCCUGGCCCAACGUGGACGCCCACAGUGGAGUGCUUCUGCAGUACUACGGCAUGACAGAGAUGAACUACUACACGGUGCUGUUCGGCGUGUCCCGAGCACUGGGGGUGCUGGCCCAGCUGAUUUGGAGCCGAGCCCUGGGCUUCCCCCUGGAACGCCCCAAGUCCAUGAGCACAAACGGACUCAUGACCCUGGUGGGAGCCAACAAUUCCGGGAAAGAUGAAGUAUCAAAGGAAGAGGGGGGGGAAGGCAAAGAAGAACAAAAAGGGGAGGUAGAGGGUAGGGGGAUGCAUAAGAUGCAGUACACUUAUGAAAAGAAGGGCCUUUGCUGGAUUUAGUCGGUUCAUGUCAGUGACACUAAUGUCGGGCGUACACCACACGACUUUAAAAUAUUGCUGAGCCUCUCACAUUAAUACCACUGUCUUUCCUGUAGUUUUCUGUCUUGCCAACGUAGUGAUACAACACUAAAUGAUGUCACACACUACAAGAUUCUUCAUUUGGUCGUAAGUAUUCUCGAUGCCUCGCUGUCUCGCAAGAAGAAUGUGAUGUGAUUGUGCAGCUAGAACGAGCUGUGGGCCAAAGACAUGUGGGCCUCAAAACAUUUUGUUAGACAUUCACGCUUGCCAUAGAGUUGAAAUAUUUAACCAAUACAUUUUGAAUUAAAUAACAUUGAACUUCAGAGCUGUACUGAUUUGACACUAGCUUUGGGAAGUACAAACGUAGGCUAGUAGUCAUCACUCCUGUUCGAGAGUCAGUACACACAUUCUGAUGCGAUACAACGUCAUCAUCUCACUGGCUUCUCUGGUGAGCUGUUGGCUGUUGUUGAUCACAGUUCUCAAAAUGUUUCGUUGCACAUCUCACACUACAGGAGCAUAGCAGAGUUUGUGCUGAUAAAAUCAAACGUUUGAAAACAUCAGGAUGACUCAGACAGGAUCGGUAGCCCUCAGGAUCGGUCAGUAACGGCCGUGCGCCCCAACUAUGCAACGACUUGGGAAUUUUGUCUCCGAUCUCAAACUUGUCUGGGACAGGUAAAUCGGGCCAAAAUCAUGUAGUGUACUUACGGUUUAUGGUAAUCUUUUUUUUAUUUUGUGAGACUGAGCCAUGCUAGUUGAGUCUUAUAUAUUUAAGCUGACCUGGUUUUGUAAAGAAAUAUCAUGUCAAUUCUUCAGUUGGAGAAUCUGGGGCACUUGCAUUGUCAGACGGAAUUUUCCAAAAUAACGAAACAAAAGACAACACUCCAUGGCAGGCAAGGUCCUUCUGUAAUAUAACCACAGAAGAAUAUGUACAGUCUGCAAAUGACCAGGGUCUGUAGGUUCGUAAAAGUAUACUGCUGCCCCUUUCAUCAAUGAUUGAUGUCACACCACUAUAAAUCAAGGCCAAGUUCAUUUAUUACACCAUUUUUUUGCCAGUGUUCACCAAACCCAUUGCACUUCUGGUAAACGGAAUACUAUGCAGGUUGCUUUGUACAGUGCUUCACAAAUAGCUCUGUUCUAUUGGGAAGGGAGGUUGUUUUGAAAAGUGAUCAGGGUAAGAAGACAGCACUGUUUUCCAUUUGAUUUUAAAUCUACCUGAGAUGAAAGGGUUGAUAUAUAAAAAAUAAAAAAAAGGUUUUAUUAUAUUGUGUUAUCACACUUGGGGGUAAUCUUUCUUGUAGAGUUUUUCUUCAAGACCCGAGGGCAACUUAAAAACAUCAAUGGAACAUUUCCUUCUAGUCAGAAAAAUGAAUGUAAUUCGAGAGCUGGCAAGCAUUGACUAAAUAGUACGCGUGUCUCAAUCGACGUACUAUUAGAAUGUUUUGUAAAUGUUUGUUUUAGAAAGUCUGCUGGUUUUACUAUGUCCAACUGUAAUGUCUCAUCUCAUCUGUAAUGUGUACUUGCGUCAUGAUGAGAAAUCUGAAACACCAUACCAACUAAUCAUUAAAUAAGAAUUUGUUGAAAUGACUUGCCUAGUUAAAGGUUAAAUUU